rnacentral:rRNA from 1 species
UACGUAGGCAGCGAGCGUUGUUCGGAAUUACUGGGCGUAAAGAGUGUGUAGGCGGUGCUCUAAGUUCGGUGUGAAAUCUCCUGGCUUAACUGGGAGGGUGCGCCGAAAACUGGAGUGCUCGAGCGUGGGAGAGGAAAGCGGAAUUCCUGGUGUAGCGGUGAAAUGCGCAGAUAUCAGGAGGAACACCGGUGGCGAAGGCGGGUCUCUGGGCCGAUACUGACGCUGAGGAGCGAAAGCGUGGGGAGCGAACAGG